rnacentral:piRNA from 1 species
UUCAGCUUGUCCAGUUCGCCUUGAUCCAGA